AUUCAAUUUUGCUAUUAGCUAAAGAUCUUGGGCAUGAUGUUAAAAGCUAUUCACACAGGAAAUCUUGGCAUAUCUGGACUUUACAUUUUAUUUGUUGGCUAUAGUUAAGAGUUAUAGUCUACAGCAUGUGUAGUCAUAACUACCGCAUGAGUACUCUACUAGUUACCUAGCUUUGUCUAUAACUUGUAUAGACAAAACUAUUUGUAGAAACUUUACACAAAAUCAAUUUACUUUUACGUAUAAAAAAAAAUUUGAUAAAAAUAUAUUUUAGUACUCAAAGCAAGCCCAUGCUGUGGAUACAUUAGCAUGGGAUAACAUCACAGGAUUUUGGUCCUAUUGUGUUGGCCUUCGGGAUCAGAUUAAUGAUUAAGAGCGACAGUCGGGGGCAUUCGUAUUUCAUAGUCAGAGGUGAAAUUCUUGGAUUUAUGAAAGACGAACCACUGCGAAAGCAUUUGCCAAGGAUGUUUUCAUUAAUCAAAAAUGAAAGUUGGGGGCUCGAAGACAAUCAGAUACCGUCCUAGUCUCAACCAAAAACGAUGCCGACCAGGGAUCGACGGAUGUUGCUCUUAGGACUCCGCCAACACCUUAUGAGAAAUCAAAGUCUUUGGGUUCCAAGGGGAGUAUGGUCACAUGGCUGAAACUUAAAGGAAUUGACGGAAGGGCACCACUAAGAGUGGAGCCUGCGGCUUAAUUUGACUCAACACAGGGAAACUUACCAGGUCCAGACAUAGCAAGGAUUGAUAGAUUGAGAGCUCUUUCUUAAUUCUAUAGGUGGUGGUGCAUGGUCAUUCUUAGUUAGUGGAGCAAUUUGUCUCGUUAAUUCCUAUAACGAACGAGACCACAGCCUGCUAACUAGCUACGUGGUGGCAUCCCUCCGCGGCCAGCUUCAUAGAGGGACUAUGGCCAUUUAGGCCAUGGAAGUUUGAGGCAAUAACAGGUCUGUGAUGCCCUUAGAUAUUUUGGGCCGCAUGCCUGCUACAUUGAUGUAUUCAACGAGUCUAUAGCCUUGGCCGACAGGCCCGGGUAAUCUUUGAAAAUUUCAUCGUGAUAGGGAUAGAUCAUUGCAAUUGUUGGUCUUCAACGAGGAAUUCCCAGUAAGUGCGAGUCAUUAGCUCAAGUUGACUACAUCCCUGCCCUUUGUACGCACUGCCCAUCGCUCCUACCAAUUGAAUGGUCUUGUGAAGUGUUUGGCUCUAGGCGACGGGGACGGUUCGCCACCCGCGACAUCACGAGAAGUCCACUAAACCUUAUCAUUUAGAGGAAGGAGAAGUCGUAACAUGGUUUUCGUAGGUGAACCUAUGGAAG
rnacentral:rRNA from 1 species